rnacentral:rRNA from 1 species
GAUCAUGGCUCAGGAUGAACGCUAGCGACAGGCUUAACACAUGCAAGUCGAGGGGCAGCAUGGUCAGUAGCAAUACCGACUGAUGGCGACCGGCGCACGGGUGAGUAACGCGUAUGCAACUUGCCUAUCAGAGGGGGAUAACCCGGCGAAAGUCGGACUAAUACCGCAUGAAGCAGGGAUCCCGCAUGGGAAUAUUUGCUAAAGAUUCAUCGCUG